rnacentral:lncRNA from 1 species
AAGAAUAUCAUAGAGCUAUAUAUUGUCUUUUUCUAAAAUAUAAAAGACAACCUGGGUACCUCUAAUUCAUAUGGUGGUCAACAAUAUCUUUUUGGUUGGCCGGUGGAAAAAAUCUUCUGCCUACAGCUGAAGAAGAUCUCCACAAUCCAUUAGCAUAUAUUAUAUUUACUACCUAAAAUUAACUACCAAAAUUUGGCUAUUUCAACUCACAAGACUCUGACAACUGGUGUUUCUAAUGAUGGCAAAAGUCUCUCUUCCACACUUCAAAGAUUUCAUGUUCAAAAGCCGUUCAAGGUACAAAGGGAAAUGAGUAUGCUCCCAAUAUUAAUUACUUAUGCUCAUGGCAGAUUUCACCAUAAACUUCUUUAUAUAUUGUUUGUUAGAUUCAUAAUUUUUAUAGCAUUGGUUAAAAGAAACAAUUGAUAUAGCGACUUGAAAUUGUUGUGUGCUUGUUUAAAGAAGUUUGUGGUUGUGAUAAACUAACAUAUACAAGCCAACUCAAUCAGAGAACAAAUCUCAGUCAUAAUGUGACCAGCUAAUAUAUCUUUGAUUAAUUAGAACAUUAAUUCACCAUAGAUGAACAACAGAGAUAAACUUGUAGGUAUAUAUAUGUAUUCAAUUGGUAGUAAAUGAGUGUAAUCAUGUAUGAUUUUCCUUCCAUUUUACGAAGAGAAGCAAAGCAACAAUUUUGACAGUCAUCUCCGGAAUCAACUUUAAAAUCUUAGUACAAUUUCUACUACAACCUGUUGAAAUUUCUGAAGACUUGGCAAAUAAAAGUUCAUACAACUAUUGAAAAUUCAAACUGUAUAAUAAGACAUUCAACAAUUUUCAAUGGAACUACAUAGUGAAACACCUUGGCAUUCAACAGUUUCUAGACAAUGGAAAGAAGAAUUUCAGUUGCUAAAACACCACUUAAAUAGUGAUUAAUACUUGGAGACUCCUACGCUUUCUAAAAUCGCGAUUCAGAGAAAGAGAGUCUUACACAGAGAUUCGCGAAGCAUCAGAAAGAUUUAGGUUGGAUUUAUUAAACUCGGUUUUGAUUCACAAUGACUUAGGUCGGAUUCACAAAGAUUUGAGUUUUGAUUUACAGAGGCAGUGAAGAAUAAGAAGGAUUAAGAUUUUCGUAUCAAAAUGAGAUAUACAGUUUUUUGGGCAUUAGAGAGAGAUUUUUUU